rnacentral:rRNA from 1 species
UUUCUGUAAAUCUAUAGAAAGUAAUUCCUGCCCGGUGACAAUGUUCAACGGCCGCGGUAUCCUAACCGUGCAAAGGUAGCAUAAUCAUUUGCCCAUUAAUUGUGGGCUAGAAUGAACGGAUUAACGAAAUAAAAACUGUCUCUAUAAGUCCCAUAAAAAUUAAUCUCUAACUGAAGAGUGUUAGAUAGUAUCGAAGGACAAGAAGACCCUAUAGAGCUUUAUCCUAAUAAAAUCAAUUUUUUUUUUAUUUUUGUCGGAUUCGGUUGGGGCGACCAGGGAAAUUAUUAAUCAUCCCUCUUUAACAGAUAUAUAAAUCUCCAUCCUGACCCUUAACAAAGAUCAUAAGAUCAAGCUACCUUAGGGAUAACAGGCUAAUUUCACUAAAGAGUCCUUAUCAAUAGUGAAGUUUGGCACCUCGAUGUUGGCUUAGGGAUUCUAUGCGGCGCAAAAGUCACAUAAAGAUGGUUUGUUCAACCAAUAAUACCCUACAUGAGCUGAGUUCAGACCGGCGUAAGCCAGGUUAGUUUCUAUCCUCGACAAUACAACCUAUUUAUAGUACGAAAGGACCUAAAUAAGAAUAAUAAUUAUAGUUAAAGAAUAAAUAUAAUAUAAUUUAAAACAGAAAUCUACAUAAACUAUG